GACGAACCGAGCGAACGUUGUUCGGAAUCACUGGGCUUAAAGGGCGCGUAGGCGGGCCGCCGCGUCCGGGGUGAAAUCCUCCCGCUCAACGGGAGAACGGCCUCGGAUACGGGCGGCCUGGAGGGGGGUAGGGGCGUGCGGAACUGCGGGUGGAGCGGUGAAAUGCGUUGAUAUCCGCAGGAACUCCGGUGGCGAAGGCGGCGUGCUGGACCCCUUCUGACGCUGAGGCGCGAAAGCCAGGGGAGCGAACGGG
rnacentral:rRNA from 1 species